GUGGGGAAUCUUGCGCAAUGGGCGAAAGCCUGACGCAGCGACGCCGCGUGAGUGAUGAAGGCCUUCGGGUUGUAAAGCUCUGUGGGGAGAGACGAAUAAGUGCGGGCUAAUACUCCGCAUGAUGACGGUAUCUCCUUAGCAAGCACCGGCUAACUCUGUGCCAGCAGCCGCGGUAAGACAGAGGGUGCAAACGUUGUUCGGAAUUACUGGGCGUAAAGCGAGUGUAGGCGGUUUCCUAAGUCAGGUGUGAAAGCCCCGGGCUCAACCCGGGAAGUGCACUUGAAACUGGGAGGCUAGAGUAUCGGAGAGGUUGGUGGAAUUCUCGGUGUAGAGGUGAAAUUCGUAGAUAUCGAGAGGAACACCGGUGGCGAAGGCGGCCAACUGGACGAAUACUGACGCUGAGACUCGAAAGCGUGGGGAGCAAACAGGAUUAGAAACCCCAGUAGUCC
rnacentral:rRNA from 1 species